UACAUUUUCUUGAAUAUUUUCCAAAAAUCCAUCCAUCCAUCGCUCCGUUAGAGGAAAAAAGAAAAGUAACUUUUUCUUCUAAAAACCCUUUCUUCCUUCCUUAAUAAUAUUCAGCACAGAACAGUUCAUCCACCUGAAAACAUAUCGGAGGUUAGAUCUCACUCAAUCACCAGAAACAUGAUAACAAUAGGAGGUGGUGUCAACGCUAUAACAGCUAGAUUGAUGUUCCCCAUGGUCUCAACACGAGAUUAUCAACUCCCACCUUUCUCCACUAUUUAUCGAGAGGUUGUAGAAGGAAUAGAGAAACCAAAACUACUUUGUUGCAGUUCACAGUGAAAAGAGAAAUCCAAAGCUAUAAGCUAAUCAAUUGUAAAAGGGAAAAGAACUUUAUACAAGAUCUGUAAAAACAACUAAUCCCCACUUGAUGUCUUCGUUUUUUGACGAUUACAAGAGAGUAUAUCUACAUGCAAAUACUGAGUUCGAGAAUCGGAGUUCCUGGACUGCUGGAUGCUGUUCAAGUGUCUAUGUCAUAACAAAACUUGAGGGGGCAUUCACUUAGUAGGGAAGUUUCAAGCUCAAAAUAUUAUGGUUCUAUCAAAAAUCACAACUACAAUACACAUUUCCUAAGUACGUGUCAUGAUGAAAUACAGGAGUGCUUUGGUACUGCCGAGCUAUCUAGAGAGCAGAUAACUAGGAGUGGACAAUUAUUCUCAGAACAAUUUGAUUAUAAGUCAAGAUUUUGAAUCAUCCCAAUAAUCACGGGCACAAGCAACAAAAGGCACAAGAAGCUGCUGAUAUUGCUUUGUCGUUGAAGAGGUAGCAAAAUCGUGUGCUCGUAUUUUACCAAGCACUCUUAGUAUCAAGAUUAUCAAUAUGGUUAUGUAUAUUUUUACGGGCAUCUAUGUGAUAGUAACUUAGUAUGUAUGGUAGUUAGGCAUUACUGCGUUUCUGAAUAUUUUAUACAACGAAAAAGUGUGCUUUAGAUGCCUCUAUAUGUUGAUAGGGUUUAUACUUAAAAUUAUCUUGUAUGUUGGUAGGUUUUAAUGAAAAGUACGUGAUGAGUUUUCCUUUUA